GGAUAGUUUUGGACUUCUUUAGUUCCUGGUUGCACUUCCUUGUUUGUUUGGUCACCAUGGUUACUUAUGAUUUCCACCUGCUUCUGUUUGGUGGGACACACCUGUGUCCAAUCAAGAGAGAAUAUUCAAGGCUGCCUUCUUGAUCACUCGUCCUGGCUUCCUUGUUUGUGUUUUCAUCCGGAGUGUCCAUGUUGCAUUGGAGGAACGACCUCGCAUAAAGAUGCAAGACCCCCACGUGACAACCUGAACCAUCUACUCACCUGUCACUGUCUUCGAGGCCGGUCCUGGCGCGUCCUGUUCUGCAGCAGGCCUGCAGGCCACGCCCCCCUCCACACAUGUACAGGUCACUCCGGCAGCAUCCGGGGGGGACAGAGGCCCACGUCAAGGCAGAGAAGGUUCUGGAGUCAGGAGUGGGAG